rnacentral:rRNA from 1 species
UGCCAGCCGCCGCGGUAAGACGGAGGGGGCAAGCGUUGCUCGGAAUUACUGGGCGUAAAGGGCGCGCAGGCGGAACACGAAGUCAGACGUGAAAGCCCCGGGCUUAACCUGGGAAUUGCGUUUGAAACUUGUGGGCUAGAGUCUCGGAGAGGGUGGUGGAAUUCCCAGUGUAGAGGUGAAAUUCGUAGAUAUUGGGAAGAACACCAGUGGCGAAGGCGGCCACCUGGCUCGAUACUGACGCUGAGGUGCGAAAGCGUGGGGAGCAAACAGGAUUAGAUA